rnacentral:rRNA from 1 species
UACAGGGGGUGCAAACGUUGCUCGGAAUUAUUGGGCGUAAAGCGCGCGUAGGCGGCCGCUUAAGUCGGAUGUGAAAGCCCCUGGCUCAACUGGGGAAGUGCACCCGAAACUGAGUGGCUUGAGUACUAAAGAGGGUCGCGGAAUUCCCGGUGUAGAGGUGAAAUUCGUAGAUAUCGGGAGGAACACCGGUGGCGAAGGCGGCGACCUGGGUAGAUACUGACGCUGAGGCGCGAAAGCGUGGGGAGCAAACAGG